GCACUGCUGAGGAGUCCCAUACUAGGACGAAACGGCCGUCUAGUUC
rnacentral:hammerhead_ribozyme from 1 species